rnacentral:misc_RNA from 1 species
UCAACCCUCAAGCCCUGGCUUGCCGUUGGACCUUGUCUUAUGGACAGGUCCCAAAGACAUUGACGGAGUCGUGUUGGACCCUAGAUGCAACGAGCUUUCCAAGCACGCAUUUAUGUGGCUGGCCGCUCCUGUCUUGACCAUGUGUUUUUCACCAA